ACAGGUGCUGCAUGGCUGUCGUCAGCUCGUGUCGUGAGAUGUUCGGUUAAGUCCGCUAACGAGCGCAACCCUCGCUGUGUGUUACAAGUGUCACACGGUACUGCCGGUCUUAAGGCCGGAGGAAGGUGGGGAUGACGUCAAGUCAGCAUGGCCUUUAUGUCCUGGGCUACACACACGCUACAAUGGCCAACACAAUAGGUUGCUAAGCCGCGAGGUGGAGCCAAUCCUCAAAGUUGGUCUCAGUUCAGAUUGCAGGCUGCAACCCGCCUGCAUGAAGAUGGAGUUGCUAGUAACCGCAGGUCAGCUAUACUGCGGUGAAUACGUUCCCGGGGCUU
rnacentral:rRNA from 1 species